UCGAGGAUUUUUCUCAAUGGGGGAAACCCUGAAGGAGCGACGCCGCGUGGAGGAUGAAGGGCUUCGGCUCGUAAACUCCUGUCACUAGGGAACAAUUGUUUCAACCUAACACGUUGAAACUUGAUGGUACCUGGAGAGGAAGGCACGGCUAACUCUGUGCCAGCAGCCGCGGUAAUACAGAGGUGCCAAGCGUUGUUCGGAUUUACUGGGCGUAAAGGGUGCGUAGGUGGUGUGGUAAGUCAAAUGUGAAAUCCUGCAGCUCAACUGCAGAACUGCAUUCGAAACUGCCACGCUAGAGUACUGGAGAGGAGAUCGGAAUUCUCGGUGUAGCAGUGAAAUGCGUAGAUAUCGAGAGGAACACCAGUGGCGAAGGCGGAUCUCUGGACAGUUACUGACACUGAGGCACGAAAGCCAGGGGAGCAAACGGGAUUAGAUACCCCCGUAGUCC
rnacentral:rRNA from 1 species